ACUUUCUAAAUGAUUUAUCAGGGAUCUUAUUCUCGUUAAUUGUAGUAAAUAAUUGUGAAAAAUGUUGAUGUUGGACAUAACGGACAAUCGAAGAUAAAGAUUGUUGGAGCUCAAACGGGGAUAAUUGGAUGGCCAUAAUCCGUUGGAUUUUUGAAAGUGAAGAGAAUCUCAUGAGGAGAGUGUCUAUAAAAGGAAUAGAUUUAAUAGAUGGCCAGUAUUCCGGAGGAUGACAGAGCCAGGAGGGGCCCCUCCACCAUAGAUCGUGAGCGAUUAACUGAUCUGGAAAAAUACCUCGAGUCUGCAGGAUUAUCGGAAGAUGGUAUGUAUCCCCAAUAAUCUGAAGUAGGCAAUGAAGAAAUCCACGCUAGGGUGACUUUGGAAUCGGACCACGCGUAAAUUACAUCGAAAAUGAUUGUGGUUGAUAACAUGUCCUUAAUAGUUUUAAGAAGAUCAACGAGUAGAACAGCGCCACAAAGUUCGAGACGAGGAAUAGAUAUUGUCUUAAGAGGUGCAACUCUAGAUUUACCGCAAAGAAAAGAGGUAUUAAUAGAUUGGUUAUGACUUUCACAGCGUAAAUACGCUACUGCACAAUAACCUGAUUGCGAGGCGUCACAAAAAAGAUGAAGUUGAACGGAUUUAGUGUCAGACGGAAUCAUCAAUCGAGAUAUGUGACCAGGAGGACUUUCAUCCCAUUCAAUUUUUAAUUGCCACAAUUGUUGGAUAAAUUGUUUAGCCUUUAAGGUGCACGGAGUCAAGAAGCCUAAGGGGUCGUAGACACGAGCGAUUUCCGAAAGUAUGGAACGUUUUGUGGAAAGGGAAUUGCGGGGACAAUAGGAAAAUUUAAAAUCAUCUGUUGUGGGAUCCCAUUGCAGACCCAAAACUUUAAUGUAACUGAUUUCAUCGUAAUCCAUUGAUAUUGGACGCUGUAAAUCUGUUUCAGAUACUUCUUGUAAGACGUCAAUCAAUUCUCGCUGUAGCUCCAAAGUCUCUUGCACCGAUUGAGCUCCUGUGACUAUAUCGUCAACGUAAAUGUUGUUUUUUAGAACGGUUGAAGCCCUCGGAAACUGAUCACAAUAGAUGUUAGAUAACUCGACUAGUGUUCGCAAGGCAAGAAAAGGUGCCGAUGCCACUCCAUAGGUCACAGUAUUUAAAAUAUAUUCUUGAAUAGGUUCAGUUGAAGAGAAUCUCCAUAAGAUUCGCUGAAAGUUUCUGUCUUCAGGUGAAACAAGAAUUUGUCGAUACAUUUGUUGGAUAUCGCAGACAAAUGCAUACUUAAAACAUCGAAAAGACGAUAAAACCUUUAUUAUGUCUUGUUGCAAUUUAUGUCCCACCAAAAGGGUGUCAUUUAACGAUGUACCAUUAGAUGUUGGUGCUGAUGCGUCAAACACAACUCUAAUUUUUGAUGAAGGGUUUUCAGAACGAAGCACGCAGUGAUGCGGAAUGUAGUAGGUUCUAUCAGAAGGAGGUUUGAAAGAGUUAGCAAGAGACAUGUGGCCUGACUGAAGAUAAUCUUUCAUAAAGUUGAUAUAAUCACUUCUUAACGACGGAGUUUUUAAGAGACGGUUUUCUAAAGACAUAAAACGUUUCAACGCUGUCUGGUAGGAAUUGCCCAGGACUGGAUUUGGUUUCUUAAAAGGCAGAGAAACGAUGAAUCGACCUGUUGAUGAAUGGAUUCCAGUUCCCAGAAUCUUUGAAUUGAGUUAUCAAGCGAAUAAUCAGUAGUAGAUAAACACGUUGACAGUGAGGUCGUGACUGAGAGCGAAGAUCUCCCCAUUAGAA
rnacentral:lncRNA from 1 species